AGUCGUACGCUUCUUUUUCACCGGAGCUUGCUCCACCGGAAAAAGAAGAGUGGCGAACGGGUGAGUAACACGUGGGUAACCUGCCCAUCAGAAGGGGAUAACACUUGGAAACAGGUGCUAAUACCGUAUAACAAUCGAAACCGCAUGGUUUUGAUUUGAAAGGCGCUUUCGGGUGUCGCUGAUGGAUGGACCCGCGGUGCAUUAGCUAGUUGGUGAGGUAACGGCUCACCAAGGCCACGAUGCAUAGCCGACCUGAGAGGGUGAUCGGCCACAUUGGGACUGAGACACGGCCCAAACUCCUACGGGAGGCAGCAGUAGGGAAUCUUCGGCAAUGGACGAAAGUCUGACCGAGCAACGCCGCGUGAGUGAAGAAGGUUUUCGGAUCGUAAAACUCUGUUGUUAGAGAAGAACAAGGAUGAGAGUAACUGUUCAUCCCUUGACGGUAUCUAACCAGAAAGCCACGGCUAACUACGUGCCAGCAGCCGCGGUAAUACGUAGGUGGCAAGCGUUGUCCGGAUUUAUUGGGCGUAAAGCGAGCGCAGGCGGUUUCUUAAGUCUGAUGUGAAAGCCCCCGGCUCAACCGGGGAGGGUCAUUGGAAACUGGGAGACUUGAGUGCAGAAGAGGAGAGUGGAAUUCCAUGUGUAGCGGUGAAAUGCGUAGAUAUAUGGAGGAACACCAGUGGCGAAGGCGGCUCUCUGGUCUGUAACUGACGCUG
rnacentral:rRNA from 1 species